AUCUGGGUAAAACAGGCAAAUUUUCAUAUACCUCUGCGUAUCCCUUUAAAUUCCUUUGAAGGUCUAGGAAGGCCUAUAUUUUAUCUCCAGCCAUUUCAUAUCAAGUGUCACAUGUGUAGCGCUGUGAAUGAAAUACCGCAGACAAUCUAGAUCAUAUAUAUAAAACAAUGACAGAAAUCCUAUUUGAACUUGUCUUUCAUUAAACAUCACAUCGCCCAGAAACGGUAGCAAAAUCAAAGUGGAAAAACAUCUUUGAUAUCAGAGGGAAAUAGAUGUUUCUACUUCAAUGCAUAUCUUGUAUUUGUGGUUUGAGUGAUUAUCCUAGGUGUCAUCCAACUCAUUGGCUUCCAUCCAACUUUAUCGGAUUCGCAAUUGACUCUGACUGAUCUCUUCGGUUUUACAGUAGGCAACAGAAAUCUAAAAUAAGAUUGAUCUCAUUCGUAACAAAUGUACUAUUUCAUGUCCUGUUUCAUCUGCUGUUGAAGACUUUCAUCAUUGGUUCGACCCGUGGUUAAAUUCAUCAGACGUAACCGUUUCACCGGUUCGUCAGGGCCCAUGAGAUUGGUCUCGAUAAUGUUGUGUCCUUUCCUCUGUUUCUACGGAUGUUGAAUUCGGCGGAAUGGCUUUACAUCUGAAUAGUAAUAUGAGAAAAGAAGGUCAGGUUAUGCAAAGGACUACAAUGACGAGCAUCAAAACAGACUACAGAGGCAAAAGUACAAGAAAGCAAGACAUCGGCGAUCACAACUGACUCAAAAACACACCCUCUCAGCACUAUAACAACGUGUGUGAAUGUUGUCACCAAUUACAUUUUUCCAUCACAGUAUGCUUGGUACCUUGCCAUGGAGGCACCGUUGACUUCACUGUUAAAGACAUGCCUGUCCUCAGAAAAUGGUGGUGCACAGUACUGCUUGAGAACUUCCACCUGGAUGGGCACGGCAGAAGGUUCCCACACUUCAUGGAGGAGGCCAAACAAAUGGCGGCUGGACUACUUCCAUCAGUCUUCAGACUGAAGCGAAAAAGAGAAGUGAAUGACGUUUCCAGUGACAGAAUACAAAUAAUAUAUUGUAUAGGCUUAAUAUUGAUUUGACUGUUUGAUUCUUUUGACAGUGAGUUGGAGCUGAUGGCUGUCAGCAUGAAGAAGCUAUAUCUUUAGGCUUCUGUAGAUUAUUUGUUAAAUAAAUUGUGUGGAAACUUAGGUGUGGUUAUUCUUCAAUGUAUAUUUAUAUCAAAUUAUGAUGGUAUACUUUACAAAAAAAUAAAUUUGAUUCAA